GUAGCCUAGUGGUUAGAGAGGCAGGUAGCCUAGUGGUUAGAGAGGCAGGUAGCCUAGUGAUUAGAGAGGCAGGUAGCCUAGUGGUUAGAGAGGCAGGUAGCCUAGUGGUUAGAGAGGCAGGUAGCCUAGUGGAUAGAGAGGCAGCUAGCCUAGUGGUUAGAGAGGCAGGUAGCCUAGUGGUUAGAGAGGCAGGUAGCCUAGUGGAUAGAGAGGCAGCUAGCCUAGUGGUUAGAGAGGCAGGUAGCCUAGUGGUUAGAGAGGCAGGUAGCCUAGGGGAUAGAGAGGCAGCUCGCCUAGUGGUUAGAGAGGCAGGUUAGAGAGGCAGGUAGCCUAGUGGUUAGAGAGGCAGGUUAGAGAGGCAGGUAGCCUAGUGGUUAGAGUGUUGGACUAGUAACCGAAAGGUUGCAGGAUCGAAUCCCUGAGCUGACAAGGUACAAAUCUGUCGUUCUGCCCCUGAACAAGGCAGUUAACCCACUGUUCCUAGGC
rnacentral:lncRNA from 1 species